rnacentral:rRNA from 1 species
GAUGAACGCUGGCGGCGUGCCUAAUACAUGCAAGUCGAGCGAACAGAUAAGGAGCUUGCUCCUUUGACGUUAGCGGCGGACGGGUGAGUAACACGUGGGUAACCUACCUAUAAGACUGGAAUAACUCCGGGAAACCGGGGCUAAUGCCGGAUAACAUUUAGAACCGCAUGGUUCUAAAGUGAAAGAUGGUUCUGCUAUCACUUAUAGAUGGACCCGCGCCGUAUUAGCUAGUUGGUAAGGUAACGGCUUACCAAGGCAACGAUACGUAGCCGACCUGAGAGGGUGAUCGGCCACACUGGAACUGAGACACGGUCCAGACUCCUACGGGAGGCAGCAGUAGGGAAUCUUCCGCAAAGGGCGAAAGCCUGACGGAGCAACGCCGCGUGAGUGAUGAAGGUCUUCGGAUCGUAAAACUCUGUUAUUAGGGAAGAACAAAUGUGUAAGUAACUGUGCACGUCUUGACGGUACCUAAUCAGAAAGCCACGGCUAACUACGUG